rnacentral:rRNA from 1 species
CCUACGGGCGGCAGCAGUGGGGAAUAUUGGACAAUGGGCGAAAGCCUGAUCCAGCCAUGCCGCGUGUGUGAAGAAGGCCUUCGGGUUGUAAAGCACUUUCAGUGGGGAAGAAAGCCUUGGGGCUAAUACCCUCGAGGAAGGACAUCACCCACAGAAGAAGCACCGGCUAACUCCGUGCCAGCAGCCGCGGUAAUACGGAGGGUGCGAGCGUUAAUCGGAAUUACUGGGCGUAAAGCGCGCGUAGGCGGUCUGAUAAGCCGGUUGUGAAAGCCCCGGGCUCAACCUGGGAACGGCAUCCGGAACUGUCAGGCUAGAGUGCAGGAGAGGAAGGUAGAAUUCCCGGUGUAGCGGUGAAAUGCGUAGAGAUCGGGAGGAAUACCAGUUGCGAAGGCGGCCUUCUGGACUGACACUGACGCUGAGGUGCGAAAGCGUGGGUAGCAAACAGGAUUAGAUACCCGUGUAGUC